CCCUGUUAACUCUAGAUGUAGACAAGAAAGGAAUCUUUGAACUAGCGGUUAGUGAACUUCAGUUGCCAGACCCCGAAUCCGAUGCUCCUGCAGAUGAAGUGGACGCUGAAAAGUACUGGCAACAAGUGAACUGUGGGAUCUUAUACAGAGGAUCUUAUACGUACUGAAAAAACCCUUUAGAAAUCAAGCCUUCAUAUAAGUUUUGGGCCCCAUAUAUUGGCCCAAAAUGCAGAAGAGGAAGGAAA